rnacentral:rRNA from 1 species
GGGUGAGUAACACGUGGGCAACCUGCCUCAAAGAGGGGAAUAGCCUCCCGAAAGGGAGAUUAAUACCGCAUAAAAUUAUGGAAUCGCAUGGUUCUGUAAUCAAAGGAGCAAUCCGCUUUGAGAUGGGCCCGCGGCGCAUUAGCUAGUUGGUAAGGUAAAGGCUUACCAGGGCGACGAUGCGUAGCCGACCUGAGAGGGUGAUCGGCCACAUUGGAACUGAGACACGGUCCAGACUCCUACGGGAGGCAGCAGUGGGGAAUAUUGCGCAAUGGGGGAAACCCUGACGCAGCAACGCCGCGUGAGUGAUGAAGGCCUUAGGGUUGUAAAGCUCUGUUAUCUGGGACGAUAAUGACGGUACCAGAGGAGGAAGCCACGGCUAACUACGUGCCAGCAGCCGCGGUAAUACGUAGGUGGCGAGCGUUGUCCGGAUUUACUGGGCGUAAAGAGUGCGUAGGCGGAUGUUUAAGUGAGAUGUGAAAUACCCGAGCUCAACUUGGGUGCUGCAUUUCAAACUGGGCAUCUAGAGUGCAGGAGAGGAAAGCGGAAUUCCUAGUGUAGCGGUGAAAUGCGUAGAGAUUAGGAAGAACACCAGUGGCGAAGGCGGCUUUCUGGACUGUAAC